CAAGUUGGAACAACUUGCCGAGGAAGUCCUGUCAUUUCCAAAAGGAAGUGUGAUUCACUCUGCAGGAAAUUUUUCGGAGCCUGAAUCAGAGCUGUCGAGGAAAUCUCCUGCAGUACUGUCAAAGAAGACUGCUUAAUAAGAUGUACCCCUGAUGCAAGUGCACCAUGAACUUCAAAGUGCUACAACAUCUUUUAGAAUCUGUCUGCACUUGAGGCCGCACAAUUUGUCAACACCAUAAGAUGAAGCCAGGCACAGCAUCAAGAAUCUUCCCCACAUCCAGUUAUCUGAUUUGCUCCACUAUCAUUCCCCCCGCACACACACACUUCAGCAGAAAUCAAUGUAUGACCAUUUCAUGGUACAAAUGAUCAUGUCUCAUGUGAAAUCCAGGGGUCGUUUCG